GUCUGAGAGGGUUAAAAGGAAUCUUUCAACUUUUGCAAAGUUCAUUCGUGCUGUGGUAGUUAAUAAUAUAACACCUCAGUUGAGGAGAAAACGUUUACUGAAGAUAAUUGUUAUUAUUCCAACAUUGAUAUCAUCUUUUUUCAAAUACUAUGACUCGGGAGUUAAUACUAUUACCCAAGGAGAAAUAUGAAAGAUUGAUGAAUAUGUCCAACCAAUGUGAAA
rnacentral:lncRNA from 1 species